rnacentral:rRNA from 1 species
AACGAACGCUGGCGGCGUGCUUAACACAUGCAAGUCGAGCGAGAAAGGGAGCUUCGGCACCUGAGUAAAGCGGCGCACGGGUGAGUAACACGUGGGUAACCUGCCUUUCAGUGGGGGAUAACAGCCCGAAAGGGCUGCUAAUACCGCAUUCGUCCACACGGUCACAUGUCUGUGUGGAGAAAGAGGCGCAAGUCUCGCUGGAAGAUGGGCCCGCGGUCCAUUAGCUAGUUGGUGGGGUAAAGGCCUACCAAGGCUUCGAUGGAUAGCUGGUCUGAGAGGAUGAUCAGCCACACUGGAACUGAGACACGGUCCAGACUCCUACGGGAGGCAGCAGUGGGGAAUAUUGCGCAAUGGGCGAAAGCCUGACGCAGCAACGCCGCGUGUGUGAUG